ACUUCCAAUUAAUAGAUGAAG
rnacentral:miRNA from 1 species